UUAAAACUUUCAACAACGGAUCUCUUGGUUCUGGCAUCGAUGAAGAACGCAGCGAAAUGCGAUAAGUAAUGUGAAUUGCAGAAUUCAGUGAAUCAUCGAAUCUUUGAACGCACAUUGCGCCCCCUGGUAUUCCGGGGGGCAUGCCUGUUCGAGCGUCAUUU
rnacentral:rRNA from 1 species